rnacentral:lncRNA from 1 species
GGUGCUGCCAUGAGCUAUGGUGUAGGUCGAAGAGACAGCUCAGACCCUGCAUUGCUGUGGCUGUGGUGUAGGCCGGCAGCUAUAGCUCUGAUUUAACUCCUAGCCUGGGAACCAUGGGUGUAGCCCUAAAAAGACAAAAAAAAAAGUGAGCGUGUUGACUGCCCCCCGCCCCCCUGCGCGCCCCAGCGUGGGAUCCAGAGGAGGAAGUGAUUGCGUCUGUUCGGGCUGAGCCAGAGGGGCUUUGUCUCUUAGUCCCCUCCCUCCAGGCACCUGACACCAGAACUCACGUCCCCCCAUGUUUGUGGCAGCACAUGCUUGGCCUCCAGGCUCCUGGAGAAAUGCGGGGAGUCUCCAGGUUCGCUUUGGUGCCCCUGUGCAUGACCGGGAAGUAGGGUGCUGCCCCCAUGGGCUCUCCCGCUGUUAAAUGCCCUAAGCUGAGCCCAAGCACAGACCCUGGACCUGGAGCCAAAGGGCCAGUGUCGCUGUUCCGGCCAAAUAAUCGCCUCUAGCUAUUUUUAUCUGGAGAGAAGGCACCUGAUAUUUGCAAACAAAACCAGCUACACGCUGAAUGGGGGAAAGUGCUUGGCCAGAUCGCUUGGCCUGAUCGAAUUUCUUAGGACUUACGCAGAAAGCUUCAGCUUCUCCUUAAGCCCAGGGCCAAGGACAAAGACGAGUGCUGGGCCAGGCCCCAGGAUGCAGGGGGAGCCAAGAGACAGGCCCACAGAUGCUCAGAGCUGCCAUCUGGACCUGCGUUUCCCCCCGUGUGAAACAUGUUCCACCUGAUUUCAAGUAACCUAACGAGUUCAACCAGUCCCAGCAUCAAUUAUCAAAGCAUCCAAGCCUGCUCCUUUAUCGGAGGGACCACCUUUGGCAGGUUCUAAGCUUAUCUCCAUGCUGGCUCUCUGCUGGGCUCAUGGCUCUGGCCCCACAUACAUGGGCCGGAUGUAUUUGUGGCUCUUU